GUGCCAGCCGCCGCGGUAAUACGGGGGGUGCAAGCGUUACUCGGAAUCACUGGGCGUAAAGCGAGCGCAGGCGGAUAGAUAAGUUGGAAGUGAAAUCCUAUGGCUUAACCAUAGAACUGCUUCCAAAACUGUUUAUCUAGAAUAUGGGAGAGGUAGAUGGAAUUUCUGGUGUAGGGGUAAAAUCCGUAGAGAUCAGAAGGAAUACCGAUUGCGAAGGCGAUCUACUGGAACAUUAUUGACGCUGAGGCUCGAAAGCGUGGGGAGCAAACAGGAUUAGAUACCCUGGUAGUCCACGCCGUAAACGAUGUCAACUAGCCGUUGGGACUCUUGAAGUCUUAGUGGCGCAGCUAACGCACUAAGUUGACCGCCUGGGGAGUACGGCCGCAAGGUUAAAACUCAAAGGAAUUGACGG
rnacentral:rRNA from 1 species